GAUGAAGAACGUAGCGAAAUGCGAUAAGUAAUGUGAAUUGCAGAAUUCAGUGAAUCAUCGAAUCUUUGAACGCACCUUGCGCCCUUUGGCCAUUCCGAAGGGCAUGCCUGUUUGAGUAUCAUGAACACCUCAACUCUUCAUGGUUUUCCAUGAUGAGCUUGGACUUUGGGGGUCUUGCUGGCCUGUGGGUCGACUCCUCUCAAAUGAAUCAGCUUGCCGGUUUUUGGUGGGCAUCACAGGUGUGAUAACUAUCUACGCUUGUGGUUUUCCACCAGGGUAACCUUCAGCAGUGGAGGUUCACUGGAGCUUACAAAUGUCUCUCCUCUGUGAGGACAGCCCUUUGAAUGUUUGAUCUCAAAUCAGGUAGGACUACCCGCUGAACUUAAGCAUAUCAAUAAGCGGAGGA
rnacentral:misc_RNA from 1 species